rnacentral:rRNA from 1 species
CGGGGCCCGGCACAAGCGAUGGAGCAUGUGGUUUAAUUCGAAGCAACGCGCAGAACCUUACCAGCCCUUGACAUACCGGUCGCGGACACAGAGAUGUGUCUUUCAGUUCGGCUGGACCGGAUACAGGUGCUGCAUGGCUGUCGUCAGCUCGUGUCGUGAGAUGUUGGGUUAAGUCCCGCAACGAGCGCAACCCUCGCCCUUAGUUGCCAGCAUUUAGUUGGGCACUCUAAGGGGACUGCCGGUGAUAAGCCGAGAGGAAGGUGGGGAUGACGUCAAGUCCUCAUGGCCCUUACGGGCUGGGCUACACACGUGCUACAAUGGUGGUGACAGUGGGCAGCGAGCACGCGAGUGUGAGCUAAUCUCCAAAAGCCAUCUCAGUUCGGAUUGCACUCUGCAACUCGAGUGCAUGAAGUUGGAAUCGCUAGUAAUCGCGGAUCAGCAUGCCGCGGUGAAUGCGUUCCCGGGCCUU